UCCCUGGAGGACUAUUGGUUAGGCCUUGGGGGUUUCACUGCCAUGGCCCGGGUUCGAUUCCCAGCCAGGGAA